rnacentral:rRNA from 1 species
GCUGGCGGCACGCCUAACACAUGCAAGUCGAACGAAGUAGCAAUACUUAGUGGCAGACGGGUGAGUAACAUGUAGGUAUCUGCCCUUUGGCCUGGAAUAACACGAGGAAACUUGUGCUAAUACCGGAUAAGUCUUUACGGAGAAAGCUUUAUGCACCAUUGGAUGAGCCUGCACUUGAUUAGUUUGUUGGUGGGGUAAUGGCCUACCAAGACUGUGAUCAAUAGCUGAUUUGAGAGGAUGAUCAGCCACAUUGGGACUGAGACACGGCCCAAACUCCUACGGGAGGCAGCAGUGGGGAAUCUUGCACAAUGGAGGAAACUCUGAUGCAGCGAUGCCGCGUGAGUGAAGAAGGCCUUUGGGUUGUAAAGCUCUUUCGUCGGGGAAGAAAAUGACUGUACCCGAAUAAGAAGGUCCGGCUAACUUCGUGCCAGCAGCCGCGGUAAUACGAAGGGACCUAGCGUAGUUCGGAAUUACUGGGCUUAAAGAGUUCGUAGGUGGUUGAAAAAGUUGGUGGUGAAAUCCCAGAGCUUAACUCUGGAACUGCCAUCAAAACUUUUCAGCUAGAGUAUGAUAGAGGAAAGCAGAAUUUCUAGUGUAGAGGUGAAAUUCGUAGAUAUUAGAAAGAAUACCAAUUGCGAAGGCAGCUUUCUGGAUCAUUACUGACACUGAGGAACGAAAGCAUGGGUAGCGAAGAGGAUUAGAUACCCUCGUAGUCCAUGCCGUAAACGAUGUGUGUUAGACGUUGGAAAUUUAUUUUCAGUGUCGCAGCGAAAGCGAUAAACACACCGCCUGGGGAGUACGAC